GGGUAGGUACCGAAGCGGUCAAACGGGGCAGACUGUAAAUCUGCUGGCUUACGCCUUCGGGGGUUCGAAUCCCUCCCUGCCCACCA
rnacentral:tRNA from 1 species